rnacentral:rRNA from 1 species
UACGGAGGAUGCGAGCGUUAUCCGGAUUUAUUGGGUUUAAAGGGUGCGUAGGCGGGCAUUUAAGCCGGCGGUCAAAUGUCGGGGCUCAACCCCUUCCCGCCAUUGAAACUGGCGUUCUUGAGUGGAAGAGAAGUAUGCGGAAUGCGUGGUGUAGCGGUGAAAUGCAUAGAUAUCACGCAGAACCCCGAUUGCGAAGGCAGCAUGCCGGCUUCCGACUGACGCUGAAGCACGAAAGCGUGGGUAUCGAACAGG